UAACGACCGACACCCUGUUGUUCAUAACAGCAUGCGAGUGUCUGGAAGGGUGAAGGCGUGUGUUCCCUACUCUCCCCUAAGAAAAAGUCUACACUUUUCUCUCAAACGGACAGAGAGGCGACGCUAAAAGCCAAAAGAUCUGACCUAUCUCACGGUCUAUCGUUAAGCCAUUCUUUGUUUAAAAAAAAAAAAGCCAAGCAUUAUGGGAAGAGGUGGGAGCGAGAUAUGGGACGAUGGAGAGCUGGUGGACACGGUGCAAACUCAACCUAAGAAACAGGAGGAGACGAAGACUAAAAGCUCAGAGAAAAGCUGUCCCAAGUGCUGCUUGCAGACAAGGAACUGUCUGAUGAGCCCAGAGUGCGGCAGGGCCCUCCAGAUCUCCAGCGUCGUCGCCAUGUGUGGAAUGUGCAUCCGCAUGUUCGUAUAACCUAACCAUGGACUUCAGGAGCAGCUUUUUCCAGGCUGCGCUGAUUCUCAGCAACCCCCAGCACACUUCAUGAGAGUCAUGCCAUAUGGUUUUUUACUAAUCUGAGAUGAAAUCCGGUCCCUUUAGCUCAACUUCAUCAGCUGAAGUUCUCUUCAUUCUCUAUCCACAAAUUCACUGCCUGUAUAUAAAACAAACUAGAAAGACAAUCAUUAUGAAUGAAUGGAUGGAUGGAUGUCACUAUGAUCUACAUGUCUUUGUGAAGGUUUUGGAUGCUUUUUGAUUGAUCCCAAUGCAGAGGUUUACAUUUAUAUUUAUGGUUGAGCAGUUUUUAAUAAUAAUAAUAAUAAUAAUAUAUAUAUUAUGGCGGUAGAGCUGAUGUGUGGAGAAAUAUAUAUACAGUAUACUCAACAUCCUAUCUUCAAAUAUGAGUAAGAUGACCAGAUGGUAGGGAGGGGAGGG